UGAGAAGCGUGAGGUUGUCAUUAUUGUUUAUCUAGACAUAGGAUAGGUUGUGUGAAAAUAUUACUGAUGUUUAACGUUAAAAAUGGACCAAAAGAUUAAUGCUAAACAACGUUUGACAUGUUUGAACGAACGUAAAUAGAUUAUUUACUAGUUUUUUUUUAGCUUUUCGGCGUGAUUUUACACCCCCACCACCACGUUUUGUGGGAGCAUAAUGAACGCUAACUACUUGGUGUUAUUUGGACAUAAAUUAUGAACUUUGUCAAAAGAAACCACAUUUGUUCCGGACCUGGGAUUCCUGGCAGUGCCUUCUGAUGGAGAUAAUCAAAGCCAUAGGAGUCUUUCAACAGGGCCUUACCUCAGCUGACCUAUCAUCCCCAGACAUACAAGCACAGCUGUACUAAAGUGUGUGGUUCAAAGAUGACGGAUAGCUGGCAAGAAUAUGAGGAAAGUAGGCGUAUCCCUAGUAUAUCCCUAGAUAGUUGACUCCGUCUCUGAAUAUCAGAACUGGUCAUUGAUUUUAGUGUUUUACAUGUAUAAAUUAACUGUAAAUUGCACUGGGAUCAAAGAGACUGUUCCCAGAACAAAGCAUUGCUGGGUCAUUUUAUUCAAUAGACACAGACAGUAGAGGAGACAGCUGAAACUUUCACCUUCAACCUGAAUCAAACGAGUCACACAAAGUUAAAC
rnacentral:lncRNA from 1 species